CAGCCGCCGCGGUAAUACCGGCGGCCCGAGUGGCGGCCACUAUUAUUGGGCUUAAAGCGUCCGUAGCCGGGUUGGUUAGUCUCCCGGGAAAUCUGGCCGCUUAACGGUCAGAAUUCCGGGAGAUACUGCCAGCCUAGGGACCGGGAGAGGCCGAGGGUAUUCCCGGAGUAGGGGUGAAAUCCUAUAAUCCCGGGAGGACCACCUGUGGCGAAGGCGUUCGGCUGGAACGGGUCCGACGGUGAGGGACGAAGGCCAGGGGAGCAAACCGGAUUAGAUGCCCGGGUAGUCCUGGCUGUAAACGAUGCGGACUUUGUGUCGGACAAGCUAUGAGCUUGUCCGGUGCCGGAGGGAAACCGUUAAGUCCGCCGCCUGGGGAGUACGGCCGCAAGGCUGAAACUUAAAGGAAUUGGCGGG
rnacentral:rRNA from 1 species